CAGAGCUUGGGGAGGAACCACUCUGCAGCUGGCCUGUGAAGUGAACCUGCCCUUAGUGCUGGGGAGAAGAUAACUUGGUAUCUUUUUUCCCCUCUGUGAGGCAGAGGGACCCAGGUGGAGGAAAAAAGAGUGGUCAAUGCAUUUCCUUUGGUUUGCAUUAGCUGAAGAUUGGACAGUAAUCAGGACUCUCCUGCAAGUGUAGAAACUUGAUCUUUUGCUCCUGGAGUGAUAUAAUACAUGGAGAAACAAAACCUGCCAGUUCCUGUUUUUUCAUCCUCUGAACUCUAUAAGCCACUGAGGGCUCUGAUCCUGCAGUAAAUUCCAUUGUGGCAUAUGGAUCCCACUUGCAUCUCCUGGCACUAGAGAUACCUAACUUUGUAAGGAAGCAAAUCAGCAAAUAUCAUGGAAGUAGGAGACUGAAGGAAUACUCUUUUAUGUAAUUGCCAAUUAAAAGAACCUCUGUUCCUGGAAGUCCAAAAUGAGAUGUUUGCACCUGCUUUCCAGCUCAACUCCAGUUAAAGCAAAUGGAUAUGGCAGCCCAUCUGAAAAUACCAGGUACAGACUCAGAGGGGCGGAAGGACAACCAAAAUUAGCAGCCACCUCUGAAAACUGCAGCCUAAUUUUAUCUCUCUAGAUUUAAGAAGAAAAUUGACUCCAUGUUGCCAACCCUUGCAAAAACAGAUAUUAGCCCUUGCUACAGAAAUUCUCAAGAAGGUAGCAGAUGCAACUUUCAAGUGACUUUCAGACUGCCUAAGGGAAAAUUUCAUCUGGCCAGCUGCCAGACCUGUAUUUAUUAGUAUAGAAUUACAAUAGCAAGUUGUUUGUUACCCUUUUCCUGACUGGUACUAGCAAGUAGAAAAGAUGCCUCACAGGGUUCCUUGUCCUGGUAGUAAUCCUAGUCUAGCAUACCACAUAAUUUGAUAUUCAUGUGCUGACAAAUCAGAAGUUGCUGCAGUUAGGAUUGGAGUUGUUGUAGUCAUGGUAGUCCAGGUAAUGUGCAAAAACUCUUGUUUUGGAUUUGGCAGCUUUUGCUAAGCUACUUGCAAAACCUUUUGUGACCACGCCUGCCUGAUUUACAUCUUCACUGACUGCCUGUUUUGUAUGCAUACCAGCCCAGGCUCUGGCUGCUUUACUAUUCAGUCCAUCCAGGAAGAGCACACACCAACUGCAGAGACCUCCUCAGCCUGACGAAGGGUUUUUGAACCCAAAAGCUUGCUAAAAAAUUUUUUCCAACUAUUUAAGUUAGUCUAAUAAAAUAUAUCAUAUUCACCCAUUGAAUCUUGUCUGCCUGAAACAGGCAUUUCUUAAACUAGUGCUAUAUUUUGUCUCCUCACUUCCAAGAGUAUCAACUUUGCCCAUAAAAAAAAUCAAGUAAAUAAAGAAACUUUAUUUCCCCAAAGUAAAUCACUUUGGAGAGAAUAUUAUGCUAAGUCAGGGCUAUCCAGCUGGUGGCCCAUAGCCUGCAGCUCCCAAUCUCUCACCUGGCCUCCACUCUCCCUUUCCCUCUGAGUGCUGGUGGAGCUGGGGCCUCUAGACUCCCACUCCUCCUCUGACUUUUGCUUCUUGCCCCUGCCCCAGAGUGCAGGGAGGUACAGCCUGCAGUGGUGGGACAGCCUGUCUCAGUGCAGUGGAGGCAUCAGCAGCUGGGGAGCUGAGUGGAGGCACUGCCUCCAUGUGUGAUAUGGCUUCAGGGUGGAGGCUGCCCGCAUAUGCAGUGCAGCACUUGAAUAGGCAGCCCACAUGUGCUAUGCAACAGUGAAGAGGAGACUGCCAACACACACAGUGCAGUGGGGAGGGGGUGGCCUGAAAGUCCACAGCUUGCACUUAAUGCAGCCCUUAGGGCAUGCAGCCCCAACUGGUACAGCCCUUGAAUGCUUUAAAGUUGGACAGCCCUGGGCUGAGUAAAUUAUGGUAGAAUGAAAAUUAAAUGUAGUUACUUAAAUGCCAGUAUUAGACACACUUAGAUGAAUGCUGCUGCUUGCAAUACUCUUGAGGUUCACAUGCUGUUGAUAUAGAAAAGACAAAUUAGCCAUAAACUGAUUUCUUUAUGUUGCAUAUAAUGUCUACUUGGGAAAGACUCAGGUGAGAAAAAUUAAACUUCAAAAAUCCUCCAUAUGAUCAAAAUUGUGUUUAAUGAUGAGAGACUGGAAUCUCUUUUCUGAAAGUCUAUUAUUAGCUCUGUACAGUUAUGUAUCUGCAUUUCAAAGAAAGCUUCAGGAAAGAGUCUUAGAAAGUUUAUCUUCAAAACUUCCCUUCUAUCAAUGUGUCCUUUACUAGUGAUUGUGAAGUGUUAAGGUAGCUAUGGUUAGCACUUUAUCACAAAAUAUAGAACUCAGCUCUAUUUAACAUAGGAAAGAUAAAAGAUUAAAUCUGCCAUACGGUAAAUUGGUGAGGAAUUAUUGCAUACAUUGUAUGACAUGCUUGCUCAAUAAUUUCCAUGUGUAUGCAUACCUAAUAACUGAAUUAUGCAUAGUGAAGUCAAAGUAAUUCAAGGUUGAACAGAUGCACAGCAGCAGUUAUUAAUUUUGUGGCAAUUUAAUCUGAACAUUUUAAAUAGAAUUAGACUUUCAGAUAUUCAUUGUUGGUUGGAUUUUUUCUAAUUUUUCCCAUGAAUAGAAAUACAUAUAGGCAUGCAUAUAUAAAUACUAUAUACUUAAGAAUGACAUACAUAUAAUGUUAUAUUAAUAGUUUUGUGACAGCCUUUGAAGUUUUGAAAUAUGUUUUUAUACAUUAUUGGAGCUGAUGCUUCAAAUAAUCACUCCCACAAGUAUCAGCAAUAUGGGUUAUACAUGCCUUUGGAUUCUUUAAUUUAAAUUUGGUGAAAAAUUAUAUUCUUUGGUUUCCUAUUUUAACUUUAUUCUAUUUGUCUCUGAAGGAUUAUUUUUUUCCAAAAAAGUACCAGUUGUAUCACAAGUUCAGUUCCAUGAAUGUAUAGUAUUAG